AUGGCUUCAGGUUCACCGACUCUCACGCUCAAGGCAGCCGUCGUCGCCGCCCUCCUCGCCACGCUGGUUCUGCCUUCCCUGGGGCGUUGCCGUCCGCCACUCGACCCGCCAGCACCGGCGCCGGCUCCUGUCCCAGCCCCGGCCCCGGCGAAAGCAUCAUGCGGUGAGUACUGUAGGAAUUACUGCCCCAUGAAUUCGACGUGCCAGACCACCGUCGGCCUUCAGUGCGCCCCCCUAUGCAGAGGGGAUGGGCAGGUGGGAUGCAACGGCUGCUGGAGCAUGGGCAUGAACGACUGCCUCAACGCCUGCGUCAAGGACUGCGAGGCCAAGUGCGCCAGCGGGUAA
rnacentral:rRNA from 1 species